rnacentral:rRNA from 1 species
UCUGACUGCUCACUGAUAGAAGUAUUUAAGAGCCGCGGUAUACUGACCGUGCAAAGGUAGCAUAAUCAUUAGGGGUUUAAUUGGGAUCUUGUAUGAAGGGUUGGACGAAGGAAAGACUGUCUUUGUAAUAUAAAUUGAAAUUUACUUUUAAGUGAGAAGGCUUAAAUAAAUCAAAGGGACGAUAAGACCCUAUAAAGCUUUAUAAAUAACUUAAAUUUAGUUAAUUUAGUUGAUAAAAAUUGAUUUUAAUUAUUUUAUUUUGUUGGGGUGAUAUGAGUAUAAUUGUAGUUAACUGCUUAGAUAAGAAUUCUAUAAUAAGAGAGUGAAAUAUUUAUGAUCCUUUUUAGAGAUUAAAAGAUUAAGUUACUUUAGGGAUAACAGCGUUAUUUCUUUUGAGAGUUCAUAUCGAAAAAGAAGAUUGCGACCUCGAUGUUGAAUUAAAAUAUCUAUAUAGUGCAGUAGCUAUAAAAGAGGGUCUGUUCGACCUUUAAAUUUUUACAUGAUUUGAGU